AUACUAUACAUAUGCAGAAGUGCUUAAAUGGAGAGUUUCUUCAAGUUGGUCUCAAGUUUGUUCCACUAGCUGGAUAUCACUGGUUUGAUGGAGAUGGGUAUAUAUAUUGACUUCAUUAUUCUAAAAACUUAUUUAAUGAUUAUAUAUAUUGACGUCUUCAACAAGAAUAAUACUUUGGAGCUCCCAAAUUCAUGAAGAUUGGAGACCUGAAAGGGCAUUUUGGAUUACUCGCGGUGAUCAUGCAAAUUCUGAGAGCAAAGCUCAAAGUAUUAGAUAUUUCGUAUGGAAAUGGAACAGGUAUAAUUAAGCACAACUCAACUACACAUCUGGUACUGAAAUAUCUGUCUUCACGUGAAUGUAAUUUUAGAAAUUAGUCAAUCCUAAAUGUAGAAUAUAAAUAAGGAUUGGUAAAAUAAAGUGAAGCCUAAGAAUGCAAACUUCACGCCAUUGAAGUUUGGUACACUCAAUCUCUAUUAACAAUUUUAUUAUUUUUAAGUGAGUUAUGUCGGCAAGGAUAGGAAUGUCCUAUGGAGGCUUUAUGAGUGAUCUUUUUCAUGCCAUAUUAGUAAUCUCUUUAAACUGUAUAUUAGUCAAAAUUUGAAACUUGUGUGCACAAAAUGUUAGUUGUUAUUCAUAUCUUGGCUUCCUUUGUAACUGUAUAACAUGAAUUUGUUGAGGAUUAUGUAAUUUUUCUUGAAAUGUACAACUAGUAGUACUACUGUAAAACAA